rnacentral:rRNA from 1 species
UACGAAGGGGGCUAGCGUUGCUCGGAAUUACUGGGCGUAAAGGGCGCGUAGGCGGAUAGUUUAGUCAGAGGUGAAAGCCCAGGGCUCAACCUUGGAAUAGCCUUUGAUACUGGCUGUCUUGAGUUCGGGAGAGGUGAGUGGAAUGCCGAGUGUAGAGGUGAAAUUCGUAGAUAUUCGGAGAACACCAGUGGCGAAGGCGACUCACUGGCCCGAUACUGACGCUGAGGCGCGAAAGCGUGGGGAGCAAACAGG